rnacentral:lncRNA from 1 species
AGCUAAAAAAAAGAAUUUUUAAAAAAAUAUUUUUAACGUCAUCAGCAAAACACUAAAUCCUAAACCCUAAAUCCUAAACUCUUAGGUAAACCUUAAUUUCUUGGAUAAAUUUUAAACUCUAAAUCAAAAACAAUAACACUCAAGGGUUUAGGGUUUAGGGUUUAAGUUUUAGGAUUUAGAGUUUAGGGGUUAGUGUUUUAGUGUUUACUGUUUUUGAUUUAAAUUUUAGGAUUUAUCCAAAGGUUUAGGGUUUAUCCAAGGGUUUAGGAUUUAUGGUUUAGUAUUUUGCUGAUGACAUUAAUUUUUUUGUUAAAAUAUUUUUUAACUAUUAUUAUUAUUUUUAUUUUUUAUUUUAAAAUUAUAAUUUAAAUUAAUAAUAUUUUGUUUCUUUUUUUAAAAGAUAUCAAAUAUGAAAUAACGAAAUCUUAGUGGUUG